AGUAACAAGCCUCUCUCCUGAUGAUGAACUUCCCUGGACUAUCAGGAGUCAGUAACAAGCCUCUCUCCUGAUGAUGAACUUCCCUGGACUAUCAGGAGUCAGUAACAAGCCUCUCUCCUGAUGAUGAACUUCCCUGGACUAUCAGGAGUCAGUAACAAGCCUCUCUCCUGAUGAUGAACUUCCCUGGACUAUCAGGCGUCAGUAACAAGCCUCUCUCCUGAUGAUUAACUUCACUGGACUAUCAGGUGUCAGUAACAAGCCUCUCUCCUGAUGAUGAACUUCCCUGGACUAUCAGGAGUCAGUAACAAGCCUCUCUCCUGAUGAUGAACUUCCCUGGACUAUCAGGUGUCAGUAACAAGCCUCUCUCCUGAUGAUGAACUUCCCUGGACUAUCAGGAGUCAGUAACAAGCCUCUCUCCUGAUGAUGAAC